AAAUCGGCGUUUGCGGAGGCUCGCAUAGAUUUGGCUGUCUCAGCUGGUAGCUGCUUUUGGCGCGAAAGAUGCCGGGUCUGGUCAACUCAAACCCUGCCCCGCCUGAGCCUCAGGAGAAGAAGCCACUGAAGCCUUGCUGCGCUUGUCCGGAGACCAAGAAGGCGCGCGAUGCGUGUAUCAUCGAGAAAGGAGAAGAACACUGUGGAGAUCUAAUUGAGGCCCACAAGGAAUGCAUGAGAGCCCUGGGAUUUAAAAUAUGAAAUGGUGGUCUGCUGUGUGAAUAAAUAAUUCCUGAAGAAUGAAGAAGAUUAAUUUUGGGAGUUCUUCGAUGAACUUUGAUAUGUG